rnacentral:rRNA from 1 species
GGCAGGCUUAACACAUGCAAGUCAAGGGGCAGCGGGCCUGGUAGCAAUACCGGGUGCCGGCGACCGGCGCACGGGUGCGUAACGCGUAUGCAACCUGCCCUGUACAGGGGGAUAACGGAGGGAAACUUCCACUAAUAUCCCAUGGUGUCGCGAGGCCGCAUGGUGUUGCGACUAAAGCUUCGGUGGUACAGGAUGGGCAUGCGUGACAUUAGGUAGUUGGCGGGGUAACGGCCCACCAAGCCGACGAUGUCUAGGGGAGCUGAGAGGCUAACCCCCCACACUGGUACUGAGACACGGACCAGACUCCUACGGGAGGCAGCAGUGAGGAAUAUUGGUCAAUGGACGGAAGUCUGAACCAGCCAUGCCGCGUGGAGGAAGAAGGUCCUAUGGGUUGUAAACUCCUUUUGUUCCGGAGUAAUAAGCGGUUUGCGAACCGUGAUGAGAGUACGGGACGAAUAAGCAUCGGCUAACUCCGUGCCAGCAGCCGCGGUAAUACGGAGGAUGCGAGCGUUAUCCGGAUUUAUUGGGUUUAAAGGGUGCGCAGGCGGCGCGUUAAGUCAGCGGUGAAAUGUCCCGGCUCAACCGGAGAGCUGCCGUUGAUACUGGCGUGCUGGAGUA